GUCCCUUUGGGGACAUUGAAUAAAAUUAGAACGAUACAGAAAAGAUUAGCAUGGCCCCUAUGCAGGGAUGAUACGCACAAAUCAAGAAAUAAUCAUUACAUUG